rnacentral:rRNA from 1 species
CCUACGGGAGGCUGCAGUGGGGAAUAUUGGACAAUGGGCGAAAGCCUGAUCCAGCCAUGCCGCGUGUGUGAAGAAGGCCUUCGGGUUGUAAAGCACUUUCAGUGGGGAAGAAAGCCUUGGGGCUAAUACCCUCGAGGAAGGACAUCACCCACAGAAGAAGCACCGGCUAACUCCGUGCCAGCAGCCGCGGUAAUACGGAGGGUGCGAGCGUUAAUCGGAAUUACUGGGCGUAAAGCGCGCGUAGGCGGUCUGAUAAGCCGGUUGUGAAAGCCCCGGGCUCAACCUGGGAACGGCAUCCGGAACUGUCAGGCUAGAGUGCAGGAGAGGAAGGUAGAAUUCCCGGUGUAGCGGUGAAAUGCGUAGAGAUCGGGAGGAAUACCAGUGGCGAAGGCGGCCUUCUGGACUGACACUGACGCUGAGGUGCGAAAGCGUGGGUAGCAAACAGGAUUAGAUACCCAGGUAGUC